rnacentral:rRNA from 1 species
GACGAACGCUGGCGGCGUGCCUAAUACAUGCAAGUAGAACGCUGAAGGAGGAGCUUGCUUCUCUGGAUGAGUUGCGAACGGGUGAGUAACGCGUAGGUAACCUGCCUGGUAGCGGGGGAUAACUAUUGGAAACGAUAGCUAAUACCGCAUAAGAGUAGAUGUCGCAUGACAUUUGCUUAAAAGGUGCAAUUGCAUCACUACCAGAUGGACCUGCGUUGUAUUAGCUAGUUGGUGAGGUAACGGCUCACCAAGGCAACGAUACAUAGCCGACCUGAGAGGGUGAUCGGCCACACUGGGACUGAGACACGGCCCAGACUCCUACGGGAGGCAGCAGGAGGGAAUCUUCGGCAAUGGACGGAAGUCUGACCGAGCAACGCCGCGUGAGUGAAGAAGGUUUUCGGAUCGUAAAGCUCUGUUGUAAGAGAAGAACGAGUGUGAGAGUGGAAAGUUCACACUGUGACGGUAUCUUACCAGAAAGGGACGGCUAACUACGUG